CAUACUUCCAAGAAAAGCUUGCACUGUCAUAAACAAAGAAUGCCUGUACCAUAACCGACACAGGUGGGUAGGUAGAGUAUACUAAGGGGCGCGAGAUAACUCUCUCUAAGGAACUCGGCAAAAUGACUCCGUAACUUCGGGAGAAGGAGUGCCUUAUUUUUAAGGUUGCAAUAACAAGAUCCAAGCAACUGUUUACCAAAAACACAGGUCUCCGCUAAGUCGUAAGACGAUGUAUGGGGGCUGACGCCUGCCCAGUGCCAGAAGGUUGAAGAAGUUGGUUAGCAUUCGCGAAGCUGAUAACUGAAGCCCUGGUGAACGGCGGCCGUAACAAUAACGGUCCUAAGGUAGCGAAAUUCCUUGUCGGGUAAGUUCCGACCCGCACGAAAGGCGUAAUGAUUUGGAUACUGUCUCGGAGAGGGGCUCGGUGAAAUAGACUUGUCUGUGAAGAUGCGGACUACCUGCACCUGGACAGAAAGACCCUAUGAAGCUUUACUGUAACUUGAGAUUGAAAUUGGACUUUAUUUGCGCAGUAUAGGUGGGAGGCGUUGAGAAUAAUCUUGCGGGAUUAUGGGAGCCAUCAGUGAGAUACCACUCUUGUAAUGUUAGAUUUCUAACUUUGUAUCAUUAUCUGGUCAAAGAACAGUUUCAGGCGGGCAGUUUGACUGGGGCGGUCGCCUCCCAAAGGGUAACGGAGGCGCACAAAGGUUUCCUCUGAACGGGUAGAAAUCGUAUCUAGAGUGUAAAGGCAUAAGGAAGCUUGACUGUGAGACCUACAAGUCGAGCAGGGACGAAAGUCGGUCUUAGUGAUCUGACGGUGCUGAGUGGAAAGGCCGUCACUCAACGGAUAAAAGUUACUCUAAGGAUAACAGGCUGAUCUCCCCCAAGAGUUCACAUCGACGGGGAGGUUUGGCACCUCGAUGUCGGCUCAUCGCAUCCUGGGGCGGUAGUACGUCCCAAGGGUUGGGCUGUUCGCCCAUGAAAGCGGUACGCGAGCUGGGUUCAGAACGUCGUGAGACAGUUCGGUCCAUAUCCGGUGUAGGCGUUAGAAUAUUGAAAGGAGCCUUCUCUAGUACGAGAGGACCGAGAAGGACAUACCUCUGGUGUACCAGUUAUCGUGCCAACGGUAAACGCUGGGUAGCUAUGUAUGGAGUGGAUAACCGCUGAAAGCAUCUAAGUGGGAAGCCCACCUUAAGAUAAGUAUUCUCAUCAU
rnacentral:rRNA from 1 species